CGGCGUGCCUAAUACAUGCAAGUCGAGCGGUAAGGCCCUUCGGGGUACACGAGCGGCGGACGGCUGAGUAACACGUAGGAACGUACCCCAAACUGAGGGAUAAUUCCGAGAAAUCGGGACUAAUACCGCAUGUGCUCUUCGGAGUAAAGCUUCGGCGGUUUGGGAACGGCCUGCGUCCGAUUAGCUAGUUGGCGGGGUAAAUGCCCACCAAGGCGACGAUCGGUAGCUGGUCUGAGAGGAUGAUCAGCCAGACUGGGACUGAGACACGGCCCAGACUCC
rnacentral:rRNA from 1 species